GGCUUUGUAGUGUAGUGGUUAUCACUUGAGAUUCUGAUUCGGAUACAAUCAUUCCAGUAUUCUCAAAACCCAGGUUCGAACCCUGGCAAGGCCU
rfam:Paxillus rubicundulus Ve08.2h10 scaffold_691_c1, whole genome shotgun sequence.